UCAAAACAUACUGUGAUUUAUGGCCAAAGGUCCUUUUCCAUAGUGGCCCUUCAGUGGUGUGAUUUACCAUGUUUCUCAUCAGAAAAAUAAAGGUCUUCUCUUCUUGCAGUGCAUUUGUAGUGCCGGUAUGAACCAUGGUAAGUGGUAUAGACAGGGCUUAAGCUGAACUUGUCUCCAGGGAGGGAUGCCGAACUGGAGAAGGGAAUUUAGCAAAGUGCCUUUAAUAUGUGUGAUGAAUGGGUGACCUGAGGGGAUGGACCGCAGCAAAUGACCUUUGUGACAUCAGACCUCCUUUACCAUGACUUCAGUUAUUCUGUGAUCCCCGCAGAAAAGACCAUGAGAUCCAUCAUUACAAAUUCAAAAUGGCUGUGAAAGUUAUCUGACCUCGACCUGACCUGAUUUGCUUUCUGAUGCCAAGGCAUCCUCUCAGCUCCUCAGCCUCAUCUCCACAGCCCGCAGCUGAUGUCUCCUCUCACACAACAACAAAACAUGCUACUACAGCUGGCUGAGUCACGGUUUGGCACAUCACAAGACAAUGUCAUCUCCUAGCAACGGAGAAAAGACCAUAGAGGAAGCCUAGAAGAAAGCACAGUGCUGGCAGUGAGCUCAUGCCAGUCAGAAAGAAUGGCAACAGAAACCUUGAGGAGGUUAUCAAAAUACAUAAAUCUGGGAAUAAAUGAGUAGACAGGCUGCUUUGAAGAGGACAAACCGGAGGUAGAACCUCAUACAAAGGUCUGAUAAAGACCAUCCAAGCUACUGAGUCUCUUCUACAGGGAUCGCAGGUGACUAUGCAAACUCCAGAAAGCUCCCUGAAAUCUUUAUUCAUACCCUCGCAGGCCAUGAAGGAUGCAGAACAACAUGAAUAUCCUGGCUACAGCAGAGAUGAGGCCCUUUCCUUACCUAACAUUCUUUUAUUGAGGAAAAAAAAUAUCACCAAAAAUGAAUGAAACUCACUUUUUCUUUGCAACUCAAGAGAAGGAAUAGUGUCUAUGACUGCAGAAGGUUGGAAGGGGCAGAAGUUUCUCUGUCUCUAGGAAACAUUAAACUGAGACUGAAUCCAAUUCUAACACUCAGCCUGACUUAGUGGACUGUUUUGAAGACUGCUGAGUGGAGCUCUCUGGUUUGAUCCUCAAAGAUAGCAGAUCAUCAGGUUCCUUUCUGGCUUUAAAAUAUUUAUUUUCUGCAAAGCUUAAAGGGUCUUCUAUUCUCUGCAUUGCCCAGAGGCAAGGAUCUUUCUUAGAGGUGUUUGGAAAAUUACUACACGAAAGAGAGAAGGAGGGUUGCAGUAUUUCAAAACAUGGGAGUUAGAUGCAUAUAAGUAUCUAUUUAUGGUUUGGGUAUCCAAAAGGCACCUUAACUCAUAAAGCCAUGUAUAGAUCUGACCCCUCCAAAUAUGGGGUUUUGAAAUAAGGAAUUAUCUUUAAUUUUUGGUGGAAGUUCUGGGAGAAGGCAACAGAGCCAUGAAACCUCUUUAAAAAACCAUUAUUUUGUAGAUAUUAGGAAAUCUGUCCAGGCAGAAAGUAUCCCACCCUAAAACUAGCACAGUUGCUUGAAUGCUCAGUGCCAACACUGUCUAAACAUAAUGGAAAUAUGGAUGCAAGAAUCCAUCUGUUAAGCUCCAGUAUUUUUUUAAGUCUUACAUGGCCAUAAGGCAGAAGACAACUUUAACAAUCUCCAACCUAAGGUAUCAGUGAGAUCUCAGAUUGACCUUAUUCUGCCUCCUGUACAGCUCUUUCCUAACAACACAUUUGCCUCUGGGUAUUAUAUUGUCUCGACGCAAUCCUU